ensembl:lncRNA
AUGGGGCUCGAUCCCAGAACGCCAGGAUCACGCCCUGAGCCAAAGGCAGACGCUUUAACGACUGCGCUACCCAGGCGCCCCGGAGGCCUAAUUUCAAUUGCAGUUUUAGCCAAGGAGAAGAGGCGUUGUGCUACGCAAAGAUACCAACCUGUGAUUUGCCAAGUGAGAACUAUCAAUAAAAGCCCAAAAAACCAGACCAAGUUUGUCUGUUACGCUCAGAACUCCUUUCUGGGACUGGCUAGAAAGAGAUCUCGUUCAUGGAGACAAUUGUUCAAGGACUUUCUGACACCCCAUGGUGGGGGCUCUGAAGGAGGGGCAAGCUGAAGAGCUACCUGGUGAGAGAGAGAGAGUAUUUUAAUAGGAUGUAAUAAAUCUGGUACUUUAACUGGAAAGAAACCGUAA